rnacentral:rRNA from 1 species
UACGUAGGGUGCGAGCGUUGUCCGGAAUUACUGGGCGUAAAGAGCUCGUAGGUGGUUUGUCGCGUUGUCCUGAAAACUCACAACUCAAUUGUGGGCGUGCGGGCGAUACGGGCAGACUGGAGUACGUGCAGGGGAGACUGGAAUUCCUGGUGGUAGCGGUGGAAUGCGCAGAUAUCAGGAGGAACACCGGUGGCGAAGGCGGGUCUCUGGGCAGUAACUGACGCUGAGGAGCGAAAGCGUGGGGAGCGAACAGG